rnacentral:rRNA from 1 species
AACGGCGAGUGAAGCGGCAACAGCUCAAAUUUGAAAUCUGGCUCUUUCAGGGUCCGAGUUGUAAUUUGUAGAGGAUGUUUCGGGUGUGGCUCCGGUCUAAGUUCCUUGGAACAGGACGUCAUAGAGGGUGAGAAUCCCGUAUGUGACUGGUAGCCUAUGCUCAUGUGAAACUCCUUCGACGAGUCGAGUUGUUUGGGAAUGCAGCUCAAAAUGGGUGGUAAAUUUCAUCUAAAGCUAAAUAUUGGCCAGAGACCGAUAGCGCACAAGUAGAGUGAUCGAAAGAUGAAAAGCACUUUGGAAAGAGAGUUAAACAGUACGUGAAAUUGUUGAAAGGGAAGCGCUUGCAACCAGACUUGCAUGUAGCUGAUCAACCGGUGUUCUCACCGGUGCACUCAGUUGCGUUCAGGCCAGCAUCGGUUUCGACGGUUGGAUAAAGGCCUUGGGAAUGUAGCUUCUUUCGGGGAGUGUUAUAGCCCAGGGUGCAAUGCAGCCUGUCGGGACCGAGGACCGCGCUUCGGCUAGGAUGCUGGCGUAAUGGUUGUAAGCGACCCGUCUUGAAACACGGACCAAGGAGUCUAACAUCUAUGCGAGUGUUUGGGUGUCAAACCCAUACGCGUAAUGAAAGUGAACGGAGGUGAGAACCCUUAAGGGUGCAUCAUCGACCGAUCCUGAUGUCUUCGGAUGGAUUUGAGUAAGAGCAUAGCUGUUGGGACCCGAAAGAUGGUGAACUAUGCCUGAAUAGGGUGAAGCCAGAGGAAACUCUGGUGGAGGCUCG